rnacentral:lncRNA from 1 species
AUUGCUACAAUUGCUUAUUCAUGGGUGCUUAUGAGUGCGCUGCCAACCGCCAUACUCAUUCUUAGCUUUUCCUUUCAACGUUGUAUUAAAUGAAAGGAAGCACAUAGAAGAUUAAAUUUGGCUGAUUUUUAUUUGGGCUUAGAGAUUGUUGUCAAAGCUAGGAACAGUUGUCACGACCCACAUAACUAAGGUUUUCAAUUUCUUUUAUUCAAUUAGAAUUGGGUAGUGACAUUAUGGGGUUAAAAGAAAAACUCUUGGAUAGCACUUUAAAUUGCUUUUAAGGAGGAAGGCAGCUUGGAUGUAAGCACACAGCCCAUGAAAAAGAGAAAGGGGUUGGUCCAACAAUUAAAUUAAAUUGAAUGCAGCUCCACAUCACGAUCCACGCCAGGAGCAACACAGACAGCAGCAGCUUUAGAUUUGCUGGCAGCAAAGGAGAGGGUGUAGGGCCCACGUGGAAAGCUCACAGCCCAAAGAAAUUGAACACACUGAACCAAGCAAAUGGGCUCCACGAUGCUGGCUGGAAUGAAGCAUGUGCUGCAGCAUCCAAGAUUAUUAUUCAUUCCACAGCCCAACGUCUGGGGGGACAACAAACACGAAACCCUAGGGAUAAGUGGGACCAGCCGCCACUUACUCUAGGAAUCACUUUCCAAUUUCACUCUCGAUAAUUUUUUUUUUGGGGUGAUUAAAAGAAAGCCGCCACUGGGAGCAUGGUGUAGAGGAGGAAAACACGUUAAAUUCUGAUUUGAAGAGAAGCACACAGUCAUAUUUUUUUGAACAUGGAGGGUGAUGUUGGGUGAAGGAGAUAGGUGUCAUUGAUACAGAUGCUCCAGCCAGGGAUGGGGACUGAAUGCAGCAGAAGAUGUUAGGAAAUGAUCCAGAGGCAGCGGAUGACGUCGCUUAUGGUUUGACAACAGGAGAAGGAUGAAUUUCAAUGGUGUAGGUGAUGGAGUGAAGAGCUCUUGGUGGAUACGGUCUAGCUCAGACGGUCUUCUAGAGGAAGAAAGCUAGGUGGAGAGGGCAAAAGGCUCGGGAAGUGACUUUGGCAGAGUUUCCCUAUGCUGGAAAAAUGCAUCAGCAGAAGAAUUCAUCUCAUAUAUUCCAAAGUAUAUUACAAUGAGUGCAACCAUGGAUUUAUAGACUCAUCUAUGAGGCUACAGUGUGGCAGUGAUGACCGUGAGAUGCGGAUCUAAUGCAACGUGUGUCAAACAAGAAAAAUGGUGUGUGUGUGUUCUAAAAAGAAAUAAGCACGGUAUACAUAUGUUGACAAUGUGCAUUUCAUCAUGCAACCCCUUUAUUACUAAGCUCACCCCCCUCCCUUUGUGGAAAUGACUUCUUUAUCCUUCUUCUUAGGUUGGGUUGGUGGACUUUAUUUAUUGGGCUUGGUCCCCGCAUAUCAGUCAUGGUUGGAGGCAGUAGCUACCACAACACAUUGAAUUUUAUUUAUUUAUUUAGCACUUUUCAUUUUAUUUGAAAUUGAAGUAGUCGUUGCAUUUGAUGUUUGUGAUCCAGCGUCAGCUACCGCGUAUCAUCCCCUCCCUCUUGGAAAGGAUUUGUCCUCAAAUAUGGUGGGUCGUCUUUAUUAUGAGGACUUAUUUUUGUUGGCUCUAUACAUGUUCCUCCAGGGUCAAAUGUGAAUCUGUAAUAAGCAUCAAACAUAUCACUGAUUAGUUUCAAUUGACCCAACAAGAUGCAUGACAAAGUAUAUUUAGAAGAAGACUUCCUAGUGUUAAAUUGUUCAAUUUUUAUAAUUUUAUGAAGCCUUACUUCUUUCAAAAAUUUAUUUUUGUCUUGAGUUAGUGGUAACCAAAGAGGUAACCAUAACUCAAGUUGUGAAUUGCCAUGUGUUGUAAGUUGUAAAUUUUGAAAAUAUGGUAUGGCAAUUUCUUUAAAAGACAAAUUAAAAUUGGAAAACUCAAAGAUAGAUGAAGAAAAGUUAAAGGAUGAAAAACCUCCCCUUAAGAAUUUGGGUUCUAGUAAGAUUGUUGGAGGAGGUGGGCUGUGAUUUGUUUUGUCUUUUCUAGUUCUUGUUUUGCUUCCUAUUUCAUUGACUCUUCUUCCUUGCUUCUCUCUUCUUCUCUUCUUUCUAUUUCUCUUCUUUCCUCUUCUUCUUUUCUCUCUUGCUCUCUUUUAUCUUCUUCUUCUCUCUCUCUUUCUUCCUUUUCUCUCUUCUCUUCUUCUUUUGUCUCUUACUCUGCUCUCUUUUCUCUUUUCUCUUCUUCUCUUCUCUCUUGCUCUCUUUUCUCUAUUCUUUCUUUUUCUAUUCUUCUUUCUUCUUUUCUUCUUUCAUCUGAUUCUUGCUCUUGCUUUUCUCUUUUUAAUCUCUUAAUCCUAUAUUUGCUUGUCUCUUCCCAUAGCCUCUUAAGAUUUUCUAGAAACUCACUUUCCCUACGAGAGAACCCACUUAAAUUUUUAAUGAAUGAUUGACCUUCUCUAAUAAGCUCUCUCAUAAGUUCUAAGUUUCUUUGAGAUUCUGGAGGCACAAACUUUCUUCUCAAACAAGCUUUCAAUUCCUUCCAAUUAUGGAUGGGGGAUUUUCUACCUAUCCUAACAUGGUAUUGCCUUNNNNNNNNNNNNNNNNNNNNNNNNNNNNNNNNNNNNNNNNNNNNNNNNNNNNNNNNNNNNNNNNNNNNNNNNNNNNNNNNNNNNNNNNNNNNNNNNNNNNNNNNNNNNNNNNNNNNNNNNNNNNNNNNNNNNNNNNNNNNNNNNNNNNNNNNNNNNNNNNNNNNNNNNNNNNNNNNNNNNNNNNNNNNNNNNNNNNNNNNNNNNNNNNNNNNNNNGCAUGUCCUCAAUUUCCCUUUCCCAAGCUAGGUAUGUUAAUGCACCAAUAUCCUCACCAAAGAAUGGAAUAUUUUCCCUAGCUUGUUUAUACAAAUUAUCCUCAAUCCUAUCAUACUCAUGAAAUGAACAAGUCUUCCUUCUAGCUUUAUCAUGUUCUCUCUUGAUGUCUUUGUAACUAAGUGGCUUAUCAAGAUUAAAAUUCCUAAAAGAAUAUCUUCCAAAUAUUUUAUGAAUUUAAAAGUUUUCUUGAAGUAAGGAUGAAAAGAUUUCACUUAAAAGCAAUAUUCCAGGUAAGAGAGGUGAACCUAAAAAGGUUGCUUAAAUACCAAGUCUUGCCUUGCCAAAUAUGCUUCUAGUUACUUACUAAAAAUCCUUAAAUCAAAAUUACCUCUAAAUUCAACAAAAGUCUAGAAACAAUUAAUCAUGAAGAGAAAACUAAACUUUAAGAUAUUUCCAAAAACUUUGAAGAAUUGAAAGAAGUGAGAUCUCUUAAGUGAGGCUUUGACUUUGGAUCCAAGACACACUCACCGUAUACCAAUUUUAGUGAGAAAUUAAGAGCAAAAGUUUACAAAUGAUGGAAGAACACUUGUGAGUUCUUUCCAAUCACUUGUUUUAAUUUCCAAUUACAAGAAAUUGAAAUGAUGGAACAAAUACAAUUUGUGAAGCAAAAAGGAAAAGAAAUUGAAUGUGGCAGCUUUGGCUUCUCUCAAGAAAAUUGAUGCUGCAAAUGAUCUCUCACAAAGCUCACAGCUGCAAGGUGAAGUUUCUGUUGUUGUCACAACCGGUUCAGCUGCACCAGAAUUAUGCAGAUUUUUAGCAACUCUGCUGCCAGAAAAUUCAGCUCCCGUGUGCCCUUUCCAAUCUCCAAUCUACUUCCUAGAAUGUUACCAGACUAGAAGACGAAUUGAACUAGCAUCUGCAUCAAUUAAGCUCGUCCAUAGACCAUCACAGUUUCAAUUAUAAAGCCAGACAAAUACUCUGCUGCUUACUCAAAGUGACACAACCGAACUGCACUACUGUUAAUUUAUCAAACAGUUUCCGUGCAAGAGUUCCAAUCAAAGAAAAGCAAGCAAUUAUAGGAUUUAUAAUGAAGGUGGCACUCAAAAAAUAACUUAGGAAGAGCUCUAGAUUGGAUUUAGAAAGCAAUAAAACAAUAUACAAGUUGCAUGAUAUCAAAUUCAAGCUCACAUAUGUAUUAGGCAAAAUUGUUUGUUAAAAUGCCUAAGUGCCAUUUUUUGUGCUGCACAAAUAAUGUUCUAGGAUUGGCACGGUUUCUGCAUUUUUUCUGUUGUCUUUUCUAUUUCUUUUUUAUACUUCUGCAAAGUUUUUAUGCAGUAUUUCAAUUAAUUCUUGCUGCCAAAUCCUAUUAAAUGACAUGGCACAUAACAAUCAAGCAUAUGCAAAGAAUUUUCCCACUAAACUUGUAUGAACAACAAAGAAUUGCCUUAAAACUAGCCACUCCAUAUGACUUGCACCAAUUGGACCUUAAACUAUCAGUUUAAUAACACUAACAAGUUUGUUUAGAUAAUUGAAACUUGUUUGUGCUCUCAACUGAGGUGAGAUACCAGUAGAUCAAAAUUGGACUGGUCUAGUUCCAUAUUUUCACGGUUUCAAUCAAGUCCAAUAGUGAUUUUGGAUUAUACCGGCGCAAAUGAGUUUUAGGCAAUCAAACUGAAUCAGAAACACAAUUUGAAACUUUCACAAAGUGGCAGAAAUGAAAUUGGAUGGCUAGCCAUCAGAUUAAAAUGCUAAACCAGAUUCAAAACCAGAAAAUUAGACUCAAGCAAAGGUUUGUGCAGAUCGGUCAACUACUUUUAACUUUUCUGCUAUGAUUACUCAAUGAUUCCAAUCUUAUGCCGCAGGAUAUAGGUGCUUAAAUGGAAUACAUAUAAGUUUUCAAGCAGCAAAAAAUAAUACAGCAAAUUCGUUUGACAGCCAAUGCAACAGUACAAAUUAUGCACGUUUUCGAUACGGCUGAUGCAGAUUUUGGAAAUCUAAGUUCACUAAUGUCAUCAAGCUCAUUCAAAAUUGAAUUUCAUAGCUUAUAACAGAUGAACACCGUGUACUAACUGCAGAUUUGGUUUCACUCACAGCAAUUGCAAUUGGAACAAACACUUCAGAUUUAAGAGACAAUUGAAACAAUGCAAACCAAGGCACAUGACUUUGACAUUACCGUAGAGACUUAUCAAAUCAAAAUGACUCAAUAUUGAAAUGAUCCGAUUGAAAAUGAAAAUGUAAAACAAAGCAAUAAAAGCUGGUAUGAAAGAAAGGACUCAAACAGAACCAAAAAAUAAAAACGAACACAAAUCAGUACAGUACACACUCAAUGAAAAUAGAGAAAGGAAAACUGUGACAGUACGGAAUGUAGAAGAAGUGACUUAGCUAGAGCGUGAUUUAGCAGAAACUGUGGCUCUGAAUACCAAAUGGGGAUUGAAUGCAGCGGAAGAUGUUAGGAAAUGAUCCAGAGGCAGCGUAUGAGGUCGCUAAUGGUUUGACAGCAGCGGAAGGAUGAAUUUCAAUGGUGUAGGUGAUGGAGUGAAGAGCUCUUGGUGGAGACGGUCUAGCUCAGACGGUCUUUCUAGAGGAAGAAAGCUAGGUGGAGAGGGGAAAAGGCUCAGGAAGUGACUUUGGCAGAGUUUACCUAUGCUGGAAAAAUGCAUCAAUAGAAGAAUUCAUCUCAUAUAUUCCAAAGUAUAUUACAAUGAGUGCAACCAUGGAUUUAUAGACUCAUCCAUGAGGCUGCAGCGUGGCAGUGAUGACCGUGAGAUGCGGAUCUAAUGCAACGUGUGUCAAGCAAGAAAAAUGGUGUGUGUGUUCUAGAAAGAAAUAACCACGGUAUACAUAUGCUGACAAUGUGCAUUUCAUCAUGCAACCCCUUUAUUACUAAGCUCACCCCCCUCCCUUUGUGGAAAUGACUUCUUUAUCUUUCUUCUUAGGUUGGGUUGGUGGACUUUAUUUAUUGGGCUUGGUCCCUGCGUACCAGUCAUGGUUGGAGGCAGUAGCUACCACAACACAUUGAAUUUUAUUUAUUUAUUUAGCACUUUUCAUUUUAUUUGAAAUUGAAGUACUCGUUGCAUUUGAUGUUUGUGAUCCAGCGUCAGCUACUGUUGCAUUUAUUCCAUUUUAAAUUUAAGAGGACAUUUGGUGUUUGAAAGGAGGGCAACAACCGCACAUAGCAUUCUUCUUUCUUUAACUUUGUUUCUGCUGAAUGAGAAAUAAGAGGCACGGUCCCUUCCAUUUUAAAAGCACAUUGGUU